AGGAGGAGAGGAGAAAAAAAAAGUUAAAAAGAAAAGAAGAAAAACAUGGGUGUUGCGACAGACUUGAGAGAAGGGAAGAAUUGAAGAAGAGAGGAGAGGAGAGAGAGGAAGGAAGAAGCAGAGGAGAGAAAGAGAGGAAGGAUGAGAGAGAGACAUACCUUACUCCAUGGGUUGUUCUUCUUUCCCUUUUUCAAGUAGCCG
rnacentral:misc_RNA from 1 species